CCUACGGGUGGCAGCAGUGAGGAAUAUUGGUCAAUGGCCGGAAGGCUGAACCAGCCAAGCCGCGUGAAGGACGAAGGUGCCAAGCAUUGUAAACUUCUUUUGUCAAGGGACAAAAUCAGGCUCGAGAGCCUGACCGAGGGUACUUGAAGAAAAAGCAUCGGCUAACUCCGUGCCAGCAGCCGCGGUAAUACGGAGGAUGCGAGCGUUAUCCGGAUUUAUUGGGUUUAAAGGGUGCGUAGGCGGACUGUUAAGUCAGCGGUAAAAGCCCGGGGCUCAACCCCGGCGAGCCGUUGAAACUGGCUGUAGUGAGAUGUCGAGAGGGAUGCGGAAUGUGCAGUGUAGCGGGGAAAUGCUUAGAUAGUGCGCAGAAGUCCGAUUGAGAAGGAAGAAUACCGGCGGCGAUCUGACGCGGAGGCACGAAAGCGUGGGUAUCGAACAGGAUUAGAUAACCGGGUAGUC
rnacentral:rRNA from 1 species